CGUCAUAGAGGGUGAGAAUCCCGUCUUUGACACGGACUACCAGUGCUUUGUGAUGCGCUCUCAAAGAGUCGAGUUGUUUGGGAAUGCAGCUCUAAAUGGGUGGUAAAUUCCAUCUAAAGCUAAAUAUUGGCGAGAGACCGAUAGCGAACAAGUACCGUGAGGGAAAGAUGAAAAGAACUUUGGAAAGAGAGUUAAACAGUACGUGAAAUUGUUGAAAGGGAAACGCUUGAAGUCAGUCGCGUUAGCUAGGAAUCAGCCUUGCUUUUGCUUGGUGUACUUCCUGGUUGACGGGUCAGCAUCAAUUUUGACCGGUGGAAAAAGGCCAGUUGAAUGUGGCACCUUCGGGUGUGUUAUAGCUUCUGGUCGUAUACAUCGGUUGGGAUUGAGGAACUCAGCACGCCGCAAGGUCGGGGUUCGCCCACGUUCGUGCUUAGGAUGCUGGCAUAAUGGCUUUAAUCGACCCGUCUUGAAACACGGACCAAGGAGUCUAACAUGCCUGCGAGUGUUUGGGUGGAAAACCCGAGCGCGUAAUGAAAGUGAAAGUUGAGAUCCCUGUCGUGGGGAGCAUCGACGCCCGGACCAGACCUUCUGUGACGGAUCCGCGGUAGAGCAUGUA
rnacentral:rRNA from 1 species